rnacentral:rRNA from 1 species
GACGAACGCUGGCGGCGUGCCUAAUACAUGCAAGUCGAACGCACUCUCGUUUAGAUUGAAGGAGCUUGCUCCUGAUUGAUAAACAUUUGAGUGAGUGGCGGACGGGUGAGUAACACGUGGGUAACCUGCCCUAAAGUGGGGGAUAACAUUUGGAAACAGAUGCUAAUACCGCAUAAAACCUAAACACCGCAUGGUGUAGGGUUGAAAGAUGGUUUCGGCUAUCACUUUAGGAUGGACCCGCGGUGCAUUAGUUAGUUGGUGAGGUAAAGGCUCACCAAGACCGUGAUGCAUAGCCGACCUGAGAGGGUAAUCGGGCCACACUGGGACUGAGACACGGCCCAGACUCCUACGGGAGGCAGCAGUAGGGAAUCUUCCACAAUGAACGAAAGUACUGAUGGAGCAACGCCGCGUGAGUGAAGAAGGUUUUCGGAGUCGUAAAACUCU